rnacentral:rRNA from 1 species
UACGUAGGUGACAAGCGUUGUCCGGAUUUACUGGGCGUAAAGAGCGCGCAGGCGGUCGUUCAAGUCGAGUGUGAAAGCCCCCGGCUCAACUGGGGAGGGUCACUCGAUACUGAUCGACUCGAAGGCAGGAGAGGGAAGUGGAAUUCCCGGUGUAGUGGUGAAAUGCGUAGAUAUCGGGAGGAACACCAGUGGCGAAGGCGGUUCUCUGGGACGGUACUGACGCUGAGGUGCGAAAGCGUGGGGAGCAAACAGG